AUAUCUCUCUCUCUCUCUCGUUUUCUCUCUCACUCUUUCUGUGCAAACAGGUUGAAUGAAUGGUAAAAAUCACUAUUUAUCUCCUCUAUAAAAUUUUGAUUAAUGGGAAAAAGGAUUUGUGAGACUAGUCUUAGGCUGUAGCAAAUCUGGUGUACUUUGCACUAUGAAUUUGUCUUUGUGUGUAGUUCUGUUAUAAAAGGGGUUACCUAUAAGCCUUCUAUUUAAGCUGUACCAGCAAACUGACCAGUUACAAAGUUUGUUGCAGAUUCCUGAAACAAAAAGUAGGUAAAGUUUCCUUCUCGUCUUGUUUUAUGUCCUUGGGAGCUUGACCUUGUGAGUAUAUGGGGAUACUUUCUCUUGGUCUCCACUAUCUAGAGGGUGAAAAUUUUGGGGUUCAUGUCAACAGUUGGCCUAAAAAUUAUAGGCCACUGAAAAUUUUGGCCAAAACCACAAUUACUUUUGCAUGAACCUAGUAUCUUGGGCUCUUAAAAACCUUUGUAAGCUCAAAAUUGGCUGCUCUAGGUUCCUUCUAGGAAGGGCAAUAAACACUGUCCAGUGCUGUAGCUCAGAAGCUAAGGCUUUGCCAUUUCACAAUGGUGACUUGGGUUCAAUUCCCAGCUUAGAGAAUGUACUUUCUGUUUGAUAUUUGUGUGAUCUUUGCCAUUUGUUGAUUCUCCUCACCUUCAUGAACAACUUCUGACUUUCCAGCUUGAAUUUUCCUUUCUCUGAGCUACCUUUGAAGACUCUAGAUCUUGUAAAAACUGCUUACCACCUCUUUGAAAAUACCUCAUACACUCAUGGUUAAGUCAUAAACUUAGUUAAGGCUUAUUGUUUCACCUAGGAAGCUACCUUUAAUAAAGUUCAAAAGCCAGAAAUACUGGCUGUAGGUCCUUACUAGAGUCUAGUAAUAAGAGAUCUGGUUAAACGUCAGCUUAAGUUAAAGCAGAUUAUCCAAGCUAUACAUAUAUUUAAAAGGUCUUUAUGGCUCCCCACCACCCCCACGCCCCAGUUGAAUCUUGUUUUUCUGAAAAAAAAAGCUAUUUUCUUCUCAGUUGACUGAAUUGUUUUUCUCCAUUUUAUCUUCUUGCCACUGUUGACACCCAAAUGAGAGGACCUAAGAUAAUUUCUAACAGCCUGGGACUCCUGGGGAAAAGCAGAGGAGGAGCCACAGACUCCAUUUUGGAAAAACUUCUGAUUUCCUCAUGGAACCCCAAGAAGUGAAAGUGGAUGGAUCCCUCUCAAAAUCUAAGGCUUUGACUGGAAUGGCAUGCUUUCACAUAUAAACAUCCUGCUCUAAGGAAUCAAAGUUGACUUAUAGAGCUAAUAAAAGCCCCUUGGAAAAACUAGCUUCAUACCUUGCCUAUGCAUUCCCUGUACAGGAUUCUUGACCUGUGGCUAGAGGUGAACACUUAACCAUGAGUAGAAGCUCUGGAGAUGAAAAAGUAUUAGAAAAACACAGAUAACAAAGAAUCAACAGAGCGCUUGGAUAUUUAUGUUCAUGGCAUGUGUAUAUAUUUUACAUGUAUCAAGAUUAAGACAAAAAGGUUGCCCCCUUCAGCAUGUCGAGUCAUGUGAGGGUGGCUACCCUCUGGGGCUGCAGCUUUCUCACUUUGGAAGACUUAUGAGUUUUUUCCUGUGCCCUGUACAGUGAAGAACAAAGAAACUAGUGACAGUUUGAUGAGAAACAGAUAUACACAUAGCUUCAAAGAAUCUCUCCAUAAAGUACUUAUUCAUUAUAAAAGGAAAAAAAUAAUUUCAUAGGGAAGAAACCUGGUGGAUGACAUCUUAAUCAAGUGAUCAAAGUUACCACCACGACUAAUGACACAAACCAACAUUAUAUGCCUCCUGAUGUGAUGUGACAUGCUAGAAAGAAAACAACAUCAUUUAUACGGUAUUUCUGCCAGAGAAACAUAAUCUGCAUUUUCAUGUUAAAGUGAAGUCGAUUAUACAUAGCAUUGUUAAAAGUGAUUUUGGAGUUUUUCUCUUCAUACAAUUUUAAGGUUGUAAAGUUGACAGUCUGUUUUUAAUUCACUUUUACAAGUUGUAAAUGUUUUGCAAAUAUGUUUCUUUCCUGUAAGAUUUAUUUCUUAGCUGGUUAACCUAGACAAAUUGAUUUCCCAGAGGUUACUUUGUUUAAUGUUAUGGUACCUAUACACUAAAUAAUCUAUAAGGAUAAGACAAUAUACUUUGAUGUUUAUUUUACAUAUUUAUAAACAUUUUUGACUCAAAUUAUGAAAAAGUUUUUCCUAAAAUUUUCUAGUGGAUGUGCUGUCUCUUAACAUUCUCCUUAGCUGUCAAUUGAUUUCCUUGUUUAACUAUUUUAAAGUUCUUUAUAAUAGUUGUUAUUCAUAAAUCAAGUGCUUUUACUCUUACAAUAAAAAUAUACACUUAUAUUUCCACUCACAAUGCACUUAAAGAAAACUUUCAGUCCUGGUUACAUUUAAAAUAGUUACCUACAUUUAUUUUAUAUUGACAAUAUCUGAAUCAAAAACCCACUGAUAGCAUCUACUAAAGCUGAACAUUCACACAUUGCAUGAAAUAGGAAAGGAGGGCUUAUGUCCUCCAAUAGGUGUGUUCAUAGCAGUUUAGUAUAAAAUCCCCAAACUGCCUAUCAACAGUAGUGUCUCUCAAUAGGAGAAUGUAUAAGGACAUUUUAGUAUACUUAUACAAUCAAGCAGUGGAAAAAAAUAAACUAUUGCUUUAUGCACCAACAUGGAUAAAUAUCACAGACCUAUUGAUAAAUGAAAGAAGUCAGAAAUGAAAAGGCUGAAAAUUGUAUGAGCCAUGUAUGUGAAAAUCAAGAACAGACAAAACCAAUCUACAGUGACAGAUGUCAGAAUGAUGGUUACCUUUAGAGUUUAUUGAGUGCAAGAAUAUGGGUGUAGCCUUCUGGGAUGUUGAAAAUAUUCUCUAUGUUGAUUUGGGUAUGGCUUAAAAGGAUUUAUGCAUGUCUAGAAAGUUAUCAAGCUGUGCAAUUAAGACCUAUGUAUUUUAUUAUAUGUAAUCUAUACCA
rnacentral:lncRNA from 1 species